rnacentral:lncRNA from 1 species
GAUGAGUGUGUCAUCCAUGUAUUGGACAACAGGGUAGGGAGAUUGUCGGCCAGCGGGUGGAGGAGCAGUGGCGCGCCCUCUACGUCGAUGAGCAUGCGGUGGAGGAGGUCCGCGAUGAUGAUGAAGAGGUAGGGGCUCAGGGGAUCGCCCUGACGCAGCCUGCACUGGCACUGGAUCCAAGGGCCGGGGACACCAUUGAGUAGCACGGCGGUG